rnacentral:rRNA from 1 species
GAUUAACGCUAGCGGCAGGCCUAACACAUGCAAGUCGAGGGGCAGCACGGGGUAGCAAUACUCUGGUGGCGACCGGCGCACGGGUGAGUAACGCGUAUGCAACCUACCUUUAACAGGAAGAUAGCCCCGAGAAAUCGGGAUUAAUACUCCAUAAUGAUUAAGAACUGCAUGGUUUUUAAUUUAAAGUUCCGACGGUUAAAGAUGGGCAUGCGUGACAUUAGUUAGUUGGUGAGGUAACGGCUCACCAAGACCACGAUGUCUAGGGGUUCUGAGAGGAUUAUCCCCCACACUGGUACUGAGACACGGACCAGACUCCUACGGGAGGCAGCAGUGAGGAAUAUUGGUCAAUGGUCGCAAGACUGAACCAGCCAUGCCGCGUGCAGGAUGAAUGUUCUAUGAAUUGUAAACUGCUUUUCUAAGGGAAGAAACCUAUCUACGUGUAGGUAGUUGCCGGUACCUUAGGAAUAAGCAUCGGCUAACUCCGUGCCAGCAGCCGCCGUAAUAC